rnacentral:rRNA from 1 species
CCUACGGGUGGCAGCAGUGAGGAAUAUUGGUCAAUGGCCGAGAGGCUGAACCAGCCAAGUCGCGUGAGGGAAGACGGCCCUACGGGUUGUAAACCUCUUUUGUCGGGGAGCAAAGAGAGUCACGUGUGACUCGUUGAGAGUACCCGAAGAAAAAGCAUCGGCUAACUCCGUGCCAGGAGCCGCCGUAAAGCGGAGGAUGCGAGCGUUAUCCGGAUUUAAUGGGGUUCAAGGGUGCGCAGGUGGAGGUGCAAGUCAGCGGUCAAAUUGCGGGGCUCAACCCCGUACUGCCGUUGAAACUGCAUCCCGUGAGUGCGCGAGAAGUAUGCGGAAUGCGGUGUGUAGCGGGGAAAUGCA